UGCAAUAUACUAAUUAUAUUGUUAUAAGAUCAACAUUAAUUAGUAGCCAGUCUUCCAACUUCCCCUUUCCAAAUUCUCUUCCAUUCCUAUGCAACGGACCAACCGAGGAACGGAGGAAGCCAAUUCACAUCAGCACCGCCUCCAACCGCUGUAAUUCCACUCUACGGCCAGCGUCAAGGCCAUACAGUCGUCCCCUGUCCACCACCAAAAAGGGUUUUGUUGACUUCCUUUUUGGGACACUGGAAAGUAUUACAUGAAAAUUCAUUCCUUAAUGUAGUCGGCAAUUGAUUAUCAAUACUAUUUGCUUCAGCUUCAGGUACCCUCAUUCUCUAUCUUCUAGUCUCUUCUAAUUUAACCAUUAUUUUUGUUAAAAUAGUUUCACAAAAUGAAGUUAAGUUCUGUUUAAUAUUAGUGGAGUGCUUUGUUUUUUAGCGAGCAGAUUGAAUUAUGUUGAAGUUUCAGUAUUUUUUCAUUUAUUGGUGUUAACAAUUGGUGAUGAAUAUUUAGUUGUCAACAUUUGAGGUUUUAUUAAACAGUAUAAACAAGUAAAUUUGCAGCUGCAAGGGGUCAAAUCCUACUCUGGAAAAUGGUUUUUGUGGGUGUAGGCAAGGAAAUGCUCAAUUAUGGUUUCGAAUUGGCGG
rnacentral:lncRNA from 1 species